rnacentral:rRNA from 1 species
AUUGAACGCUGGCGGCAUGCCUUAUACAUGCAAGUCGAACGGCAGCGCGGGAGCAAUCCUGGCGGCGAGUGGCGAACGGGUGAGUAAUACAUCGGAACGUGCCCAAUCGGUGGGGGAUAACGCAGCGAAAGCUGUGCUAAUACCGCAUACGAUCUACGGAUGAAAGCAGGGGAUCGCAAGACCUUGCGCGAAUGGAGCGGCCGAUGGCAGAUUAGGUAGUUGGUGAGGUAAAGGCUCACCAAGCCUUCGAUC